ensembl:lncRNA
UAAAGAACGGGCGUUGCUAGGAGGAUUUGCUGCUUUUUCUCCCCCAUGAAAUUAGGGUGUGGGCCUGCUUUACUGGAGUUUCUGUUUAGGGAAGAAUUGAGGAUUCACAGGAAGUCAAAGUUGAGAGGAACAGCAAAGCCACCUGCCCUUUCAUUUACAGGCCUCUCAUGCUGGCUGUAAGUGAAAACUUCCCAGGUGGCUCAGAUGGUAAAGAACCCACUUGCCAAUGCAGUUGACCUGGGUUGGAUCCCUGGGUCAGGAAGAUCCCCUGGAGUAGGAAAUGGCAACCCACUCCAGUAUUCUUGCCUGGAAAAUCCCAUGGGCAGAGGAGCCUGGUGGGCUACAGUCCAUGGGGUGGCAAAGAGUCAGACACCACUGAGCAACUAACACUUCACGUGCUGGCAGUCACCCUCCCCCUGUUGAAGCAACUGGUGCUGGACAUUCCCGUCAACUGCUAUAGAGACAAAAUAUUACUUUCCAGUUUCCUGCCUCUUAUGGAUAUCGCUGAAGGGAUCACAGCGGGAAAUUACUUGUGCUUGUCAGUUGAUUGUGUGCUGAAGAGACCGGUGGGGCUGAGAGCUGAAGAUCUCUAUCCCGGGCGGAGCAGAUUAAAGGCCGAGCGGUGGGACGGCACACAGCCCUCUGACCUCCUCCUUGACCUUGACCCCCAGGCUGGCCACCCCCCCCCCCCACCCAGGGAGAGGCAGCGAAGCACACAGGGCAGUGAGCACUGACCAGCCGUGACUAGCACACCCGCUGCCCUGCACCCUCUCCUCAAACCUCCUCCAGUGCCCCAGAGGUGAAGGGUGCUGCCCGGGGGGGAGUCAGCAUUUCUAAGGAUGAGCGCGUGGACUGCUGGGCUUCUGGUUUGCUUUCUGAUUAGAUAAUGCUCCUCUCGAGAGUUCCUUGGACUGCAAGGAGACCAAACCAGUCCAUCCUAAAGGAAAUCAACCCUGAAUGUUCAUUGGAAGGACUGAUGGUGAAGCUGAAGCUCCAGUACUUUGGCCACCUGAUGCAAAGAGCCGGAAAAGACCCUGAUGCUGGGAAAGACUGAAGGCAGGAGGAGAAGGGGACGACAGAGGAUGAGAUGGUUGGAUGGCAUCAGCGACUCAAUGGACACGAGUUUGAGCAAGCCCUGGGAGAUGGUGAUGGACCGGGAAGGUGUGCCACAGUCCAUGGGGUCGCAGAGUCAGACCCCACUGAGCAACUGAACGACAAGCUCCUGUUUGCCCCCGAGAUAACAUCCCCGUGCCUCAGCAUGUCAGGAAGACUUGCCGGGACCCGGCCCACAUACCUCUCCAGCCCCGAGCCUGCCUCUCCCCUCUUUGUGUCACACACUUCAGCCCUGCAGGGCUUUAUUCAGGUCCUUAGAGCCCAGACCUGUUCAGUCCUAGAUCCUUACUGUGACUGUAUCUUUUUGCUUUGCUAAUUUUGGUUCAUUAUUUAUGUCUCAGAUGAAACCUCACUUCUGUGGGACCACUUUUUCUUAAUCUCCAAUGUAAUUUAGAUCAACCUGAUAUCAGGUCUUUGUGGGAUCCUGUACUCCUUCCUAGGAACCAUCUUGACAGCUGUAAUUACCCAUUAGAUUGUAACCCCAUAUCUCACCUGGACGCCUGUAAAAAUCUCCCAAAGCUGAUCCUGUCUCCAUGACCAUCUCCCCCUAGGCUAGUCCCAAUACCUGUGGUUAAGUAAACCUUGUUACAUUUCCUAGAUUUCUCUUGCACUUAGCAAAAUUGGAAACCCUUAGCAUUGCCUAAAAAUCCUUAUUCUGCCCUCUCAUCUUGCACUGUCUACCCACACCCACCCUUGCUCACCAAAUUCCAUGUCUGCUGCUGCUCUUUAGGGUUCUCCAAGCUCAUUCAUGACCUUUAAUGUUACUCUUCACUCAGGAAACUCACUCAGGUUUCAAUGCUACAUAUAUGUAUUUGCCCAAAAAGAGCUUUCUUGACCAGCACUUUUUCUUCUUAGCAAUUGCUUAUUUGAAUAGUAAUUUUUCAGAUCUGUGUGGUCUUACUAAAAUGCAAGCUCCACAAAGCCAGUGAUCUUGUCUAUUUUGUUAAUCUUUAUACCAACAGCCCCCCUGACAAUCCUGAGUACAAAAUGGUAUUUUUAGUGCAUGUGAGUCAAGGAAAUAGAGGUGCAGACACACGCAAUGACGUUAAAGAAAUUGCAUUUGACCCCAUAUCAAUUGCAUUUAAUACUUUGAGGAAGUAAACUAUUGAAGAAAAAAAUCUGAAGUCAAAUGACUCGGGAAAGCCCAGUAAAGAAUGUUAGUUUACACAUUUUUCUUUUUUGGCAAUCAUUUGAACUGUAAGAUUAGAGUUUUAGUUAGAC